rnacentral:rRNA from 1 species
UACGAAGGGGGCUAGCGUUGCUCGGAAUUACUGGGCGUAAAGCGCACGUAGGCGGCGCAGCAAGUCAGGGGUGAAAUCCCGGAGCUCAACUCCGGAACUGCCUUUGAAACUGCAGUGCUAGAAUCCUGGAGAGGCGAGUGGAAUUCCGAGUGUAGAGGUGAAAUUCGUAGAUAUUCGGAAGAACACCAGUGGCGAAGGCGACUCGCUGGACAGGUAUUGACGCUGAGGUGCGAAAGCGUGGGGAGCAAACAGG